GUCAAGUUAACCCUGCCCAUCGCUCAAUGGCUCAAUCGCAUCGCUCUCCAGGCAACACCGUAAGGAGUAGCAACCUGCCAUUUCGAUAUAUCAUAGCUGUGUUUGUGCCCUCACUCAUGGUCCAGACUUUUUUCAAAUAGGACAUGAAGUUUGUCUGCAGCGAGUGUUUUGGUAGAAACUGCGCCUCCCAUUCAUUAUAAUGGGAAAUGACCACAGACAAGUGCGCACACCAUCUUUGGACCUUGAGUGUGACGCGAUCGGGAGGGGGAGGCGGUCGCGCUGGGGGCGGCGCGACGCGGCUCGGGCCCGACAGUGCCCCACCGGGGCCCUAGUUAGGGCCCGAGCGUAGCUGCUAAGCAGCUGCGAGAGCCCUCUUGUUCCUGUAGUUUCCUUCUUUUGUUAUUAUUAGGGCCCGAGCCAGCUGCAGAGCAGCCGGGCGUAGGCCCUGUUAUUCCUGUAGGGGUUUUUCUUUGUUUCUUUCUUUCUUCUUUUUCCUCCCCUUUGAACUGGAAAAUGGCCCACUUCCCACUGGCGAAAACUCAGGAAAUUUGGCAGGACGACCGGGCCUGGUGAAAAAUUUGAUAUUCCGAAGUCGCCCAAACAAGAAAAUGCAAAAUGGCUCCAUAGCGCCCCCUAAGGUGAAAAUUCACACUAUUGACUGUCACGCCUGUACGCUUUGUCAAAAUGACACAAAAAUUGACACACACAUGUAUCUCAAUAAGAUCUACAAAAAAGUCAGUGCGGGCGUAUCUGUCAAAUGUACGGUUAAAGGGUUAUUUCGCAUUUUUUGCCGAUCCGCACACAUUGGAAUUUCGCUAACUCCUCCGAAGGCUUUCGUUCCACCGGCACCACAUUUAUUCAGGCCAAUCUACACCCCGUGGCCAUUAAAAGUUAUCAAAAUCAUGACGCUGCACCCCACGGUUUAGGUUCUAGGGGGCGCCAAAGAUAACACUAAAAUCCACAUAUUUAAAAGUCUUAUAACUUUUUAUUUUUGUCCUCACUGGCCUCCAAGUUUUCUAGGAUGAUGCAAUGUCCAGCCAUCAACACAUUUGUGAAGGAAUUUUUACUCCCCAAAAGAGCGCCCCCCCAUGGCAGGAGAAAAAACUCCAUUUUUUCUUGUCCCCUAAGGUGAAAAUACACAUUGUUGAGUGUCACGCCUAUACGCUUUGUCAAAAUGACACAAAAAUUGACACACACAUGUAACUCAAUAAGAUCUACAAAAAAGUCAGUGCGCGCGUAUCUGUCAAAUGUACAGUUAAAGGGUUAUUCCGCAUUUUUUGCCGAUACGCACACAUUGGAAUUUCGCUAACUCCUCCGAAGGCUUUCGUUCCACCGGCACCACAUUUGCUCAGGCCAAUCUACACCCCAUGGCCAUUAAAAGUUAUUCAAAUCAUGAUGCUGCACCCCAUGGUUUAGGUUCUAGGGGGCGCCAAAGAUAACCCAAAAAUCCACAUUCUUAAAUGUUUUAUAACUUUUUAUUUCUGUCCUCACUGGCCUCCAAGUUUUCUAGGAUGAUGCAAUGUCCAGCCAUCAACACAUUUGUGAAGGAAUUUUUACUCCCCAAAAGAGCGCCCCCCCAUGGUAGGAGAAAAAAGGCAAUUUUUUCUUGUCCCCUUACAUAAAAAUACACAUUGUUGAGUGUCACGCCUGAACGCUUUGUCAUAUUGACACAAAAUUUGACAAUCAUGUGUAUCUCAAUUAGAUCUACGAAAAAGUCAAAGAGCGCGUAUCUGUAUAAUGUACGGUUAAAGGGCUAUUUUGCAUUUUUUGCCGAUUCGCACACAUUGGAAUGUGGCUAUCUCCUCCUAAGGCUUUCGUCCCACCGAUACCAAAUUUGCUCAGGGCUAUCUACACCCCAUGCCCAUUCAAAGUUGUAAAAAUCAUGACGCUGCACCCCACGGUUUACGUUCUAGGGGGCGCCAAAGAUGACCCAAAAAUCCACAUUCUUAAAAGUCAUUUUGGCCACUGCAGGAGUACAGAGUACUGCAGUUCUAGGGGGCGCCAAAGAUGACCCAAAAAUCCACAUUCUUAAAAGUCUUUUUGGCCACUGCAGGAGUACAGAGUACUGCAGGAUACACACACAUAUACACACACGCCAACAUACACACACACACACACACACACACACACACACACAGACACACACACACACUCAGAGUCUGUUUUUUAGCACCUGCAAAAACAUGCUGUUUACAUAUUUGACAAGAAUGCAGAGGCUUCCUUUUGCCCCUGAAAAAAAUCAAAUUUCAAACACAACUUGACUGUUCAUUUCUCCAAAAGACAACCAUGAAGCUCCAUUUCAAACCUGAAGCAGAUAGUUGGUGCAUGUGUACAGUAACCUGAGGGGAGUGAGGUGACUAUUUCUGAGGAGAACAUGAGCAGUGAAGAUUCACCUUGGAGCUAGAACAGGGACGUGCACAUGAUUAUACAGGGGCAGGGGCUCAAGUUUUUUCCAGUCAUUUAUACAAUAUGGAAAUUAAUGUGAAAUUAAACCACAAAUAUGUGUGAUGAACUGUUUUUAAAACUUAAACUUCAAAUAAAAAUUGUAAACUUCAAAACAUAUGCAAAUUUUUAACAAAGAACAUAGUAAUUUACCUCUAUUUACAUCAAAAUGCAGGCAAUGGCCCAGGCGUUCUUUGUAAAAUUAUUUACAAAACACUGUAUAGUCUCACAAAUGUCACUUUUUAUUUAUGCCACUACAAAAAAACAUGAUGUAAAUGAUGCAUGAUGUAAAACAUGAUGUAAAAAACUUGUGUAGAUCCUCCUCUAUGUCAGUCCAUGUGUAAUUUUUCCAUAAUUCUUUGUUUUUUGCAGCAUUUUUGUUAGUGUAACUGCAGAUUGUGCUGACAGUGUCUAUGGCACAAAAAAAAAAAAAAAAUUUAAAUGCCUCAACAUGAACCCCUGGUGGUCUCUGAGGGUGAAACCUGCUAACUGCUGCAGCUCUGUCAGCUUCAGUCUCCCAUGCAGAGCUCUGAGCGCAUGUGUGGCUCUGCACCCUUAGCAGCGUUGCUAACUCCUCAGUAUGGAAAGCCUGCUUCAUGUCAGAGUCUCUAAACUCCAGAAGAAGUCGAUAAAAGUCACUUUCUUUCUAAAAAAAGUCGUUAGGGUGUCUGAAAAGUCAUUGAAUCUAACAACAAAGUCGCUAGGUUUGCAACUACGUGUCCCAGACUGCAUCCCUGCUGAGAGUCCCUCCCUCCCUUCUCAUGUUGCAGGAAGAACGUAAGCGCCCGCCCCUUGUCAAUCAGUCACCAUAUAAUUUUGGAUUGGUUGUUGUGGUGAAGUUUUCCACCAAUAGGAGAGAUGUUGUGGUGUGUUUUUUUUUUCUUUUGGCAAGCCUUUUCCGCCUGUAAGACCUGUCGCUAAUGUCUGCAUGCUAUGUUUUCCUGUCUCAUACAGCGCGAUCGAGCGCCGAACGUGAUCAAAAUAAGCAGAAAAAAAGUAUCGCGGACAUAAUUUAUCAUAACUCUGGUUUUAUUUGGCCUAUCAACACAAUUUAAAAACUGGUAUAUAGGUUGAGGUCCUCACUUUUGAGAUAAGUUGAAACGGAGAGUCAACGAGGCUCCGUCUUGCAGCUACAUCCGGUUAAAUAUGUCAUGUGACUUGAACGCACACAUAGACACACACACACGCACACACACACACACACACACACACACACACACACACACACUCAGAGUCUGGUUUUUAGCACCUGCAAAAACAUGCUAUUUACAUAUUUGACAAGAAUGCAGAGGCUCCUUUUGCCCCUGAAAAAAAUCAAAUUUCAAACACAACUUGACUGGUCAUUUCUCCAAAAGACAACCAUGAAGCUCCAUCCAAACCUGAAGCAGGCAGUUGGUGCAUGUGUACAGUAACCUGAGGGGAGUGAGGUGAGUGCUUCUGAGGAGAACAUGAGCAGUGAAGAUUCACCUUGGAGCUAGAACAGAGACAUGCACAUGAUUAUACAGGGGCAGGGGCUCAAGUUUUUUCCAGUCGUUUAUACAAUAUGGAAAUUAAUGUGAAAUUAAAACACAAAGUAUUAAUAGAAAGGUAAUGACUGUCCUGUGUAGGUGACAGUGAUAUCCAAUAGGCUAGGCACUCACGAGGCUGGCUGUGGCAAGUGUAAGUGAAAGCAACACGCACUGGCAGGAAGAACAGCAAACGCCGAUGAAGGAAAAGGGUCUUUGCAGUGAUGGGCGUUAACAGAGAGGGCGAUGGCCAGAGGACACAAAUGGGGCGGGGAGGCAGCACGUUGGGGGGGGGG
rnacentral:lncRNA from 1 species